rnacentral:misc_RNA from 1 species
CCUCCUUUCUAAGGAAUACCAAACCGUUUCUUUUGGUAUUAAAAAAAAUUUUAAUGUGGCCGUCCUCAUUUCUCUUCUUAUUAAUAAAGUGUCUACCUAAUGCAGAGGGGCCGGUAGCUCAGUUGGUUAGAGCGCACCCCUGAUAAGGGUGAGGUCGGACGUUCGAGUCGUCCUCGGCCCACCAUUAUUUAAACGGGGGAUUAGCUCAGCUGGGAGAGCGCCUGAUUUGCAUUCAGGAGGUCAGCGGCUCGAUCCCGCUAUCCUCCACCAAAAUUGACACUUUUAGCUUUUUCAAAUUGUAAAUAAUAAUAUCAAUUUUGAUUGUUCAAGUAAGACGAACAAUCAUCAAUAUCUAUAUCCGAUUGUUCGAAUAGAUGAACAAUCAAAUAAAAAUUAAAUUUCUCACAGAAAAAAAGUUUUUUUCUGUGCAUAAAUCAAGCGUUUAAGGGCGUAUGGCGGAUGCCUAGGCACUGAAAGGCGAUGAAGGACGUGGUAUACUGCGAUAAGUUUCGGGGAGCUGUAAGUAAGCUUGAUCCGAAAAUUC